rnacentral:tRNA from 1 species
CAAUGAACUUAAGAUUUAUUUAUAAGAAUAUUAUCUUUAUUAGAA